GCCCCAGGCACUCAGCCCCACCCCCCUCACUGCUCACUGCUCGCUGCUGACCACUCACCGCCCUGGGUCUCAGUUCCCCCAUCUUGGCCCCAGGGAACAGCAGCCUGUCCAGCCCUCCCUCUGCAGGACUGUGUGAAUGAAUGAGGCGUGUCCUGGAAAAGGGGAGAAGAGGCACUUUGCCGUGCCUAGAGUCCUGGCUUCUGCAGAGCCCAGCAGAGACCAGUGCACAUGGAGAAGCCGAGGGGUACAGGGACG
rnacentral:lncRNA from 10 species